rnacentral:lncRNA from 1 species
AGAGCAAAAGUAGAAUUAGACUUUCACCAUUGUUAUCACCAUCAUCACCAUACACCAUUCAUUCACCACACAUGCACAUCUUGAUUUGACUUAUUGAUUUGUUUUUCUGGAUCCAUGGUUUGACUAUGCAAUACAUGUCUUGUAAGUAUGUAUACUUUAUCUCCCACCUAUGAGCUCCAGAUAUUAAAGCCUUAUUAGAGUAGGGUGAGAGAGAAGGCAAUGUCACUAUGCCUUAUACCACAAAUACCAC